AGUCGGGGGGAAGGUUCUAGAAAAGCGGCGGCAGCGGCUCUAGCGGCAGUAGCAGCGGCGCCGGGUCCCGUGCGGAGGUGCUCUUAGCGGUGUUGUUUCUCAAGCAGCGGCAGUUCUCACUACAGCGCCAGGACGAGUCCGGUCCGUGUUCGUCCGCGGAGAUCUCUCUCAUCUCGCUCGGCUGCGGGAAAUCGGGCUGAAGCGACUGAGUCCGCGAUGGAGAAAACUUUAGAAACUGUUCCUUUGGAGAGGAAAAAGAGAGAAAAGGAACAGUUCCGUAAACUCUUUAUUGGUGGCUUGAGCUUUGAAACCACAGAAGAAAGUUUGAGGAACUACUACGAGCAAUGGGGAAAACUUACAGACUGUGUGGUAAUGAGAGAUCCUGCAAGCAAAAGAUCAAGAGGAUUUGGUUUCGUAACUUUUUCAUCCAUGGCUGAGGUUGAUGCUGCCAUGGCUGCAAGACCUCAUUCAAUUGAUGGGAGAGUGGUUGAGCCAAAACGUGCUGUUGCAAGAGAGGAAUCUGGAAAACCAGGGGCUCAUGUAACUGUAAAGAAGUUGUUUGUUGGUGGAAUUAAAGAAGAUACUGAGGAACAUCAUCUUAGAGAUUACUUUGAGGAAUAUGGGAAAAUUGAUACUAUUGAGAUAAUUACUGAUAGACAGUCUGGAAAGAAAAGAGGCUUUGGAUUUGUUACUUUCGAUGACCAUGAUCCUGUGGAUAAGAUUGUGUUGCAAAAAUACCAUACCAUCAACGGUCAUAAUGCAGAAGUAAGAAAGGCUUUGUCUAGACAAGAAAUGCAAGAAGUCCAAAGUUCUAGAAGUGGAAGAGGAGGCAACUUUGGUUUUGGAGAUUCUCGUGGUGGUGGUGGAAAUUUUGGACCAGGACCUGGAAGUAACUUCAGAGGAGGAUCUGAUGGAUAUGGAAGCGGUCGUGGAUUUGGGGAUGGCUAUAAUGGGUAUGGAGGAGGGCCUGGAGGUGGCAAUUUUGGAGGUAGCCCUGGUUAUGGAGGAGGAAGAGGAGGAUAUGGUGGUGGAGGACCUGGAUAUGGCAACCAGGGUGGGGGCUACGGAGGUGGUUAUGACAACUAUGGAGGAGGAAAUUAUGGAAGUGGAAAUUAUAAUGAUUUUGGAAAUUAUAACCAGCAACCUUCUAAUUAUGGUCCAAUGAAGAGUGGAAACUUUGGUGGUAGCAGGAACAUGGGGGGACCAUAUGGUGGAGGAAACUAUGGUCCAGGAGGCAGUGGAGGAAGUGGGGGUUAUGGAGGGAGAAGCCGAUAUUGAGCUUCUUCCUAUUUGCCAUGGAUCUUUUAGAUGCUGCUUCUUCAAUGCAAGGAAAGGAAAUAACCCCAGCGAGGUACUCUUCAGGGAUACAGGUCUAGUACAAGAGAACUCUUGACGGCUACUAAGUUCAGCCAGUCUUAAAAAACUGUGCUGUUUCUACAAAGCUUUAACUACAGUAGUUUAUAAGGAUGCCAACGAAAGCUGAGGGUGUAGAGCAAAAUAGUUCUAAGCUUCAGUUAAACUUCUUUAGCAAUGAUAUGAACCAUGGACAAGUAUAUUCUGCUGCCACAAAGACUGUAAAGUGCUUCAUUUCAACAGCUGAGGCAAGCCAAGUGAUCAUUAAUAAAGCUUUUCUUGGUUCCUUCAGUGGUGUUGGUAGUAAAAUGGAAGGUGUCUUGCUGCAGGUAACUAAUGAAGAAGUGGUCAACCACAGAGUCUUCAAGAAAUAAGAAAUUCUGUACCAUCUGAAAGUAGUUCUUGUUGGUGCCUUCAUUUUAAAAAGCACUCUUUAAGAUUAAAGGGAAAUGUUUUCUGAUAAAAUACAAACUUCAUUUAGUACAGGUUCUUAAUAUAAAACAUUUACAAAUUGAGUAUUGUUUGUAAAAGAGUAACAUCAAAUUGGCUAGAGAGAGAAAUGUAUCAUGUUUUAAAUUAGGUUUUGUGAGUAGACAGAUUAAAAUUUUAUUUUAAAUAUAAAGUUUAUAAAAUAAAUACUUUUGUAUCCAAA